UGGCGAUGCGUCUUAAGCAUGCAAGUCGAGCGGGCUUAUUCGGGCAACUGGAUAAGUUAGCGGCGAACUGGUGAGUAACACGUAGGUAAUCUGCCGUAGAGUGGGGGAUAACCCAUGGAAACAUGGACUAAUACCGCAUAUACUCUUGCUACAUAAGUAGAGUAGAGGAAAGGAGCAAUCCGCUUUACGAUGAGCCUGCGGCCUAUUAGCCUGUUGGUGGGGUAACGGCCUACCAAAGCUACGAUAGGUAGCCGACCUGAGAGGGUGACCGGCCACAUUGGGACUGAGAUACGGCCCAGACUCCUACGGGAGGCAGCAGCUGAGAAUCUUCCACAAUGGACGAAAGUCUGAUGGAGCGACAUCGCGUGAGGGAUGAAGGCCUUCGGGUUGUAAACCUCGGAAAUUAUCGAAGAAUGAGUGACAGUAGAUAAUGUUAAGCCUCGGCUAACUACGUGCC
rnacentral:rRNA from 1 species